GAUGAACGCUGGCGGCGUGCUUAACACAUGCCAGUCGAACGAUGAAGCCCAGCUUGCUGGGUGUAUUAGUGGCGAACGGGUGAGUAACACGUGAGUAACCUGCCCUUAACUCUGGGAUAAGCCUGGGAAACUGGGUCUAAUACCGGAUAGGAGCGUCCACCGCAUGGUGGGUGUUGGAAAGAUUUAUCGUUUUUGGAUGGACUCGCGGCCUAUCAGCUUGUUGGUGAGGUAAUGGCUCACCAAGGCGACGACGGGUAGCCGGCCUGAGAGGGUGACCGGCCACACUGGGACUGAGACACGGCCCAGACUCCUACGGGAGGCAGCAGUGGGGAAUAUUGCACAAUGGGCGCAAGCCUGAUGCAGCGACGCCGCGUGAGGGAUGACGGCCUUCGGGUUGUAAACCUCUUUCAGUAGGGAAGAAGCGAAAGUGACGGUACCUGCAGAAGAAGCACCGGCUAACUACGUG
rnacentral:rRNA from 1 species